GCGAUUGGGAUACGGAAACCUGGAGACCCCAACUUGGACGACAACUACGAGAUCGUAGCCUCUUCGUCCUGGCGACAACGUUCGGAAGGAAGGUGUCUGGAUCAUGACUGCAUAUGGAGACGAAAAGUUGCGAGACCUGCUUGCAAGACCAAUUUCACCGGACCGGACCAGGGAAGAAAAGUCACCAGAGCGCCACGAGGACGGAUGACCACUCCCAGGAAUCUACCUACUACGAACUGAGGGUUCGUGACCUCUACGGGGAAUUCUGAUACCGAAACGCCGAUCCCUCGUACAGCGGCUGCUGGCCCCUACACGUCGGUAUCUUCCUCCCCCGCCGGAGAUGCUGUUAGGGUUGGCGUCUGACACCAUGCGGCGACAGGAAUUUCGCCCGACCUUCUACCAGGAUUCGUCGAAAUGAGGGUUGACUUCUCCUGCGAGGGUCAACGUCAGGCACCUUGCGCACAAAGGGCCUUAUACCAGGAUUCGUCGAAAUGAGGGUUGACUUCUCCUUUCCUUGCUCGGUAAUGCAGGAGGAGGGGCCCUCUCUCUGUGCCUGUCACGUGACAUGGACGGAAGCAAGAUCCCGCCCACACUUGUAGAGAGCCCAUUUAAGGGGCUCCGAAAUCUACUUUUAUACACUUCGUGCUUUUCUUAUUUUCUUUCAACUACCUUUGAAUAAACCGUGCAAGUUUCGCACUAGCAAA
rnacentral:lncRNA from 1 species